rnacentral:misc_RNA from 1 species
UCCCUUUUUCCUUUUCUUUUCUUCAAGUUUUUUCUUCUCCUUUUUACUCCCAAGUGAUGUAUCUAGGUCUAAGAGUGUGAUUUUGUGUUGGAGUUUAAGAAAUUUAUGGGAAGAAACUAGAGAAAAGCAAGCUUUCUAAGUCCAAAAAUGGUGGAAAUGAAGAGAAAAUGAGAGAGAGAAAUGGGAGAGAGGGAGUGACGGGUGAAGAAGAAAAAAUUUGAGUUU